rnacentral:rRNA from 1 species
AUGUCCCUCCCGCCGCCCCUCUCUCCCCCGGCCAUGGCCGACGCCCCGCCGAGUUCCGGCGGCCUGGCCGUCGACCCGCCGAGUUCCGGCGGCCUGGCUGUCGACCCGCCCGCAAAGGUGAAGAAGAAGGCGCCAAGGAAGCCGUGGUCGAAGUGCACGCCGGAGAAGAUCGCCAAAUUGGACGCGGAAUCGGCGAAGAGGAGGGAACAGAGAGCGGUCGUCAAGGUCAAUGCCGCCGCGGCCAAGUUCGCCGCCCAGCGCGAGGAGCUGGAGGUCGCGCGGCGCAAGGCCGCUGCCGACGAGAAGGAGGACCUCGUCAAUAAAGCGCACGCCAUCCUGAUGCUUGGCAUGGGCCGUCCGGCCGGGUUCCCUGCAGCUGCCGUCGGCCCGGCGAGCAGAGGCUCGUCGGUCGCCCGGCCUACGCACUGCCAGUCGCUGACGUCGCGCGCCGCGCCCAUGUCGCCCGGCUUUCCUCCGCCAAGGCACGAUGACCAGACCCGUUUCUCGGCGUCGCCGGACCGGCGGCCGUCCGUCCGUCGAGAUGCAAAGAAAGCAGGCACGGGCACCAUGCCGGCCCCCCGCGUCUUGUUUGACGGAAUGCCAACCCCAACGCCAACGGUCGAUGACCCCUUCCACAACCAGUACAUGGAGGACGUGAUCUUUGAGGGUGGGCAUGGACGUGCCUACGACCCCGAGGAGACCCAAAGUCAGGAUGGCCACGCCGAGUACGUGCCCAAUGAAGAGGCCGACGACCGUGCUUACUACAACCAUGGUGACUCGUGGCAUGAAGAUGAUGACAUCUAUGUCGAAGGUGAUGAAGAAGAAGGCAAUGACGUUGAUAUUAGUGGCGAGCCAUUGUUCAUCGACGAGCUCACCCAAAGAGCGGAAGCACAAAAAAAGAGGAAGAGCAUUCGCACGGGCUCAUACACACAAGAUGAUGACAAGUUGAUUUGCCAAGCUUGGAUGGAGACUAGCCAAGAUCCGAGGACCGACGCGCAACAAAAGGGCAUUGUAUUUUGGACGAGAGUCCACAAAACAUUUCAUAAAAGGAAGAUGUUUGAGCCCUACCAAUUUACAAGCAAUCGUGGCAUUGGCUCGAUUCAAAAGAAAUGGUUGUUCAUCCAACAAGAGUGCAACAAGUAUUGCGCCGCAUUAGAGAGCGUUGAAGCACGGCCCAUGAGUGGUCUCGACGUUGGGGACAUGGCAUUUCAAUCUUUGGAGGCAUUCAAGGCCCGGCACAAUGACAAUCCAUUCACUCUUACGCAUUGUUGGACGAUUAUCAACAAUUGCCCUAAGUUCAAGGACCAAUACCAUGAACUACAAAGGAAGAGAGGACUAAAGACGGCCAAGUAUGCCGGAGGUGGAGAUGGCGAGGCCUUGAAGAAGCCGAGGGGCAAGACCAACUCCAAGGUUGAUGACAUACGUGAUGCCUCAUCCAUGGCAUUGCAUGACACUUUGCAUGACAUGAUGUCCCAAAAAGAUGUGAGGGACGAGAAGAAGCGACAAAGCAAGGAGAAGCAAAUGAAGCAAUACCUGAACCUUCAAACAAAGAAGCUUGAGAUGGAGGAGGCGGUCAAGAGGAGGAAGAUCGAAAUGAAGGAGGCGACCCGACAAAGACAGCUCGACAUCGAGGCCGACAACGUCAAGGCCAGGCAGAGGCAGCUCGACAUCGAGGUCACGAACGCCGCCACCAAAGCGAAGGAGGUGGCUCUUGCGAUCAUGAGCGUGGACUUGUCAAAGAUGAGCGACAAGACGAGGCCUGGUCGUGCGAUCGGCCGUGACCAUUCUUUUUGGAUGCUGGCAUGGGUGUCGCGUCCCCGCUGGGCCGCUGGCUGUGUGCCGGCGAGAAACAUUCAUUUUGGUGGCCGGCUGUAUUGCCGGCCGCUGCCUGCGUUGCCGGCGAGGACAAUUAUUCAUUUUGGAGGCUGGCUGUGUUGUCGGCCGCUGGCUGAUGCCGGCAAUGGACGUGACAUGUCCGGACACGAUCUUAAAUUUCAUCUCAAACGGACGAAAUUCGGACAAAGCGAUGGAGUUGGCCUGACUCCUCGAAAAAAAACACCUGCUCCCACGCGGGUCGCGAGGAGGCCAAACAAGUCUCUGCACCGGAGCAGGAACCGAGAGAGAGAGAGAGUCCACUGCCCGUCUGCGCCAAAGCCCCGCAUGGAGAUCCUCCAACAAGGUGAGAGUUCUCGCUCCUCUCCCCGCAGACAGCACCCCGGUGGUUUCAUUUUGUCGGUGGAUCCCUUCCCUUGGUUCCGGGGCUUCUUGGUUUUGAUCCGCUUAGCGCGUCCAUCCCUGCCUUCUUGCGAAUCUCGAUUCCAGGAAUGGAAUAGGCAGCAGAAUACGCGGAUCCCUGCAUCUGCCCCUUGCUCAACGGACGCCGCCCCAUCGCCGUCUCCCGAUUUCAGUGCCACCCCGUCGCCGUCUUCCCUAUUUCACCGCCGCCGGCUUCCGAUUUCGCUGCCGCCCGUGCACCAACAGCACGGUCGCCGUGGCCAAUAUGCACUGAUUCAGCUGUGCCCGCCGCUCACUCUCCAGGAGGCUGUGUUCGUCGCCGCUGGCAUCUGGAUGCGGUGGCCUGCUCUUGCUCUGUCUCUGCUCUUGGGGUUCCCUCGGCACCGCGCUCUGGUUUGCUGUGUGCGGCGACGGCGAUGGCAUGGGCGAAUUGGCAAUUAG